ACAAAAUGGGCUGCACGCUCGCAACCUGGAGUCCGAGGACACAAACAAGACUUAGCAAUCUGUGGAACAACAGGAGUUAUCUUCCGAAUUUGAAUUGUUAUUAAUAUAUAGUGCAUUAUAGGCUACACUCCUAUUAUAUUACCGAUGGAUCACGCGGUAAAACAAGUGUACGCAUUUUCUCAUGGGCUCACUCCCCUUUAGAACGGCUCGUACUUACCGUCGUGCUCGGCUUCCUGCUGUUGUCGUGGUCCUUUGAAAGACUACCUUCCCGUGGCACAAUGCGCACGAACGCUAUUUCCAAACUUUCAAAGCAGCAUAUGGAGAUACUUAGAAAGCAAUUCGUUGAUUUAAAAUAGAUAAUUAAGAGCUUGAUGUUAGUACAUCUCGAGGCACAAACACCAGACAAUGUGGCUCAACCCGGGAUGUUCCGUGACACUCCACCUCUUGAACCUAUGAGAAGGCAGCGAACGGAGACGAUGACCCGCCUCCAGUUCUACGGGGCCUCCAUUUCAAUCUCCAAUGCGUGGAAGCAUUUUUUGCGCAUGGUUUCUAAGGAACGUAGCUUAAAAUGGCUGCCGAUGUCGUGGGAGGAGCUUGUUAGAUCUUCUGUCGACCAUCUUACGUGGUGCCUUUAGGACUGUUGCAGGGAGCUUGAACAGUUUCUUCUCAAAGAACCAUAGCAAGCAAACUGGUGAUCCUCGGCCCAUCUUUGCUCCCAAAGGACUAGACCUUUCUUGGAUGCUUUCAUUCAUUCCUUUUUCAGCUUAGUCACACAGCAGGGUUGCCACAGCAGAAUGAACCAACUUAUCCAGCACGUUUUACGCAGCGGAUGCCUUUCCAGGUGCAACCCAUCACUAGGAAACACACUCAUAUGCUCUCAUUCACACACAUACACUACGGACAAUUUAGCUUACACAAUUCACCUGUACCGCAUGUCUUUGGACUUAUGGGGGAAACAGGAGCACGCAGAGGAAACCCACGCAAACAUGCGAAGAACAUGCCAAUUCCACACAAAUGCCAACUGACCAAGCCGAGGCUUUAACCAGCAACCUUCUUGCUAUGAGGCGACAGCACUACCCACUGCGCCAUCGCGUCAUCCAAGUUGACUUAACAAAACAUGAAAUAUUUUGUGUUCAUAUUGUCUG
rnacentral:lncRNA from 1 species